AUGACUAUCUCUUUAUUAGCCAGCCAAAAUAAGCCAUAUUUGCCAAUCACAUUAAAUUUAAGGCGGAGGGAUUACUUUGAGGAAUAUGGAAACAUUGAUACCAUUGAGAUAAUUACUGAUAGGCAGUCUGGAAAGAAAAGAGGCUUUGGCUUUGUUACUUUUGAUGGCCAUGAUCCUGUGGAUAAAAUUGUGUUCCAGAAAUACCAUACCAUCAAUGGUCAUAAUGCAGAAGUAAGAAAGGCUUUGUCCAGACAAGAAAUGCAGGAAGUUCAAAGUUCUAGGAGUGGAAGAGGAGGCAACUUUGGUUUUGGAGAUUCUCGUGGUGGUGGUGGAAAUUUUGGACCAGGACCAGGAAGUAACUUUAGAGGAGGAUCUGAUGGAUAUGGAAGUGGACAUGGAUUUGGGGAUGGCUAUAAUGGGUAUGGAGGAGGACCCGGAGGUGGCAAUUUUGGGGGUAGUCCUGGUUAUGGAGGAGGAAGAGGAGGAUAUGGUGGUGGAGGACCUGGAUAUGGCAACCAGGGUGGGGCUACGGAGGUGGUUAUGACAACUAUGGAGGAGGAAAUUAUGGAAGUGGAAAUUACAAUGAUUUUGGAAAGUAUAACCAACAAUCUUGUAACUAUGGUCCAAUGAAGAGUGGCAACUUUGGUGGUAGCAGGAACAUGGGGGGACCACAUGGUGGAAAAAACUAUGGUCCUGGAGGCAGUGGAGGAAAUGGCGGUUAUGGUGAGAGGAGCCGAUAUUAAGCUUCUUCCAAUUUGCCCUGGGCUUCACUGUAUAAAUAGGAGAGGGUGAGAGCCCAGAGAUAACAGAACAGCUUCAGGUUAUCAAAAUAACAAUGUUAAGGAAACUCUUAUCUCAGUCAUGCAUAAAUAUGCAGUGAUAUGGCAGAAGACACCAGAGCAGAUGCAGAGAGCCAUUUUGUGAAUGGAUUGAAUUAUUUAAUAACAUUACGUUACUGUGGAGGAAGGAUUGUAAAAAAAAAAAAUGCCUUUGAGACAGUUUCUUAGCUUUUUAAUUGUUGUUUCUUUCUAGUGGUCUUUGUGAGAGUGUAGAAGCAUUCCUUCUUUGAUAAUGUUAAAUUUGCAAGUUUCAGGUGACAUGUGAAACCUUUUUUAAGAUUUUUCUCAAAGUUUUGAAAAGCUAUUAGCCAGGAUCAUGGUGUAAUAAGACAUAACUUUAAAAAAUUUAAGUGCGUGUGUAGAGUUAAGCUGUUGUCCAUUUAUGAUUUAAUAAAAUAAUUCUAAAGG